GGAGCUGGGUGCGCAGGACCGUAAAGGGAUGAUGACCCGUUGAUCGUGGGUUCAAGUCCCACCGGCCCCA
rnacentral:tRNA from 1 species